AAGAUCUGCCUGGAUGGAUGAAUGCACAGACCCAGAAAGGGAAUUCAUAACCUGGAUGGCAAGUUUUGUAUGGAAAGAGCUGAAUUUAAGAUUAUGACAGCUGCUGCUUCCUGAAUGUCUGGGACAAAGCUUGCACAUGGCACUCAUUGAAACAACUUUUGUAAAGCACUUGGAUCCUCAGCAUCAACAAAAUGGCAGCUUUCUGUGCAGCUCUGCUGCUCUCUGGAUCCAAGAAGUCACUCCUCUGCUGCUCCUCCUCAAACUUCUCAGCUUCCGAGAUCUCGUUGCUGCUUUCGCUCAUCCUGACAAGCAAAAUGCAAAACAAAAUAAAAUAAAAGGGAGUUCAGCUCA